AUACUUACCUGGCAGGGGAGACACCUUUAUCACAAAGAAGGUUUUUCCAGGGUGAGGCUCAAACAUUGCACUCCGGCUGUGAUGACCCCUACUAUUUCCCCAAAUGCGGGAAACUCAACUGCAUAAUUUGUGGUAGUGGGGGACUGUAUGCAUGCUUAAU
rnacentral:snRNA from 1 species